rnacentral:rRNA from 1 species
UUGGAGGGCAAGUCUGGUGCCAGCAGCCGCGGUAAUUCCAGCUCCAAUAGCGUAUAUUAAAGUUGUUGCAGUUAAAAAGCUCGUAGUUGAACUUCGGGAUCAAUGAGUUGGUCGUGCCCUUGGUAUGAACUGGCUUUAUUGGUUCUCACCUUCUAAUGAACCAUAAUGUCAUUCAUUUGAUGUUUUGGGGAAUUAGGACUGUUACCUUGAAAAAAUUAGAGUGUUUAAAGCAGGCUCACGCUUGAAUACAUUAGCAUGGAAUAAUGAAAUAGGACAUCGCAUUCUAUUUUGUUGGUUUCUAGGAUCGAUGUAAUGAUUAAUAGGGAUAGUUGGGGGCAUUAGUAUUCAAUUGUCAGAGGUGAAAUUCUUGGAUUUAUUGAAGACUAACUACUGCGAAAGCAUUUGCCAAGGAUGUUUUCAUUAAUCAAGAACGAAAGUUAGGGGAUCGAAGACGAUCAGAUACCGUCGUAGUCUUAACCAUAAACUAUGCCGACUAGGGAUCGGAUGAUGUUGAUUUUUUAAUGACUCAUUCGGCGCCUUACGGGAAAC